rnacentral:rRNA from 1 species
AUGGUUUUCCUAGGAAGGGGAAGGAUCCGUGUCGAUGCUGACAGUGUUCAGAGGGUAUUUGAUCUCCCAAACAGGGGUCAAAAAGUCAGAUAUUUAGUUGACAAGGAUGCCACUUGGAGAUUCAGACAGGCCUUCAACAUACCUGGAAAUUCUCAUCCCCAGAUCGCUACAUGGCUCAAGAUGAUUGAGGAUAUGGAUGGAAGAACGAAUGACACAUUCAUUAUGGCCUGGCUUGCGGUUUCCUUUAGCACUUUUCUAGCACCAACCACGGCCUUGAAGCUCAGCCCAAAGUGCUACGGACUUGUGCUAGAUCAUGAAAUGAUCAAGAACACAAACAUCUGCCUCUUCGUAGCAGAACACAUUAAUGAAACUUUCUGGAACAUGGACCAGGAGAAGCAAAUUGUCUGCUGCUGCUUGUAUCACUUGAUGGUGAUCAAGAAGGAUACCAUCUCUCCUGGUGUGUUCGGCAAAUUACAACUUAAAGAGGAGUAUAGAGGCACGGAGCAGACACCACUGUUUGAUGGAAUUUUGGAAGCUGAAGCAUUCAUGGCAUCCAAGUUACCAAUAACCUACAAUCCACAGGUUGGCACCUUCAUUGAAGCAGUUACCAAGAUCGAUGACGAGGAACCGGAUAUUGAUCCUUACGUACAGCAACCAUCAAUGCAAACCGGGGCGUCACGCCAUGCUCCAAGCAGAAAGAGACGGGGGUCAACUAUACAAGAAGAAGAAGAGUUUGUUGAUGAUGAGUCAGAAGAAGAUGAGGAAAUGGAAGCGGCGAUAGAUGUUGACGAUGAUGGGGACACAGACGCGGAUGAAUCAGAGGAGGACAAGGAUGAGGAUGACAGUGAAGAAGAUGCAAAGGAGGAGGAGGAGGAAGAGGAGGAGGAGGAGGACAAACAAGAAGAGGACAAAGGAGAGGAGGAGGAGGAGGAGGAAGAAGAUAGUGAGGCAGAGGAGGAGAAAGAAGAAGGUGAGGCCGAAGAGGGGGACAGGGACAAAGGUGCAACAGUUGAUGGCAGUGAGAGGGGAGAAGACAAAGGCGCAGCUGUUGAUGGCAGUGAGAGGGAAGAAGACGCCAAUGAAGAAGACGAGGAUGGUUAUGGUGAUGAUGUUGGGGGAUCCAAUGGAGGCAGCGACAGCAGCGAUGAUGAUGAUGAUGAUGACAAUGCCCCUAGUUCUGGUGGUACAGGCGGCAACACAUCCAGGAGGACUAGCACUUCUGCCACCCCAGCCAGCAGCAACAAUUCAUUGAGUAGCAGGAGCACACUACAGAUGUUAAUCGACAAAACUUGCUGGAAAGACAAGGAUUUGCCGAAGUCAAAGAAAAAUGACGAAGCAGAGUCUCAUGGCAGCAUUGAUAUGUUCAAACUCUGCAACUUGAAGCCAGCUUUGGCAACCACCUUUCCUGUGCCAGAUUUUAGCGACCAAGAUAUGUGUGAGAAGGUAAACUUUGCCACUGAUAAGAGCCUGUUCUUAUCAAGUGUUGCUGAAAAGAAUCAAGUUGACAUGGAGGAAGCAGGAAAGGGAGAUGCCCUGGUCCUUGAACCCAUACGAAGAUCAAAGUCUUAUCAUGGUGACGGGGUCUGCGAUGCACCAUCUUUUGACCUCGGCAUAGAUGGUCAUGCUUCAGCACCUGCUCCAGCAGCAGAAACAGCGGAAGCCAGUGUGAUUCGUAUUGAUGAGUGUGAGUUGGACCCAGCAGCUGUGAAUGAAGGAUGCGCUGCUGCUGAUGCUGGCAAGGCAAUAGCUCAAGAGCUAGAUGUUGGAUCACCAGAGAAUUGCCACACCCCGACAUGCGCAGAACCAGAUGCUGGCACGAGAAGUUCUUCAGGACCACCUAUUGCACGAAGACAGAGGAGGGUAAUAAGGCCCGCAGCAUCUCAAAGGUCUCCAUUCAUUGACUACAACAACAAGAAGACUUUCAGCUCCAAUGAGGCAGUGGACAAGCUUUACGCUGCCCUCUUGUAUUGGGUCAGGCAUCACGAAGGAGCAAAUGAUGAAGCUACUAGCCCUGAGAUAAUCAGGUAUGGUGCUUUCUACAUUUCUUUAAAGGAGUUAGUUGAUUCGAUGAAGCCGGUUCAAUGGCUCUCAAAAAUUGUUAUUGACACUGGAAUCUUACACAUCAUGGAUAACUUACCAGAAGGGUCAAAGAAGGUUGUUAUGCCACUGAGGUUUUCUAUGAAUUUACAGCAAGGGAUCCACAACGUGAAUGAGAUAAACAAGAAGUUUGAUUACAAGAACCGUGUCGACAAGAAAGAGUUGGUCAUACUGCCAGUGCUCGAGUGCGAUGAUGUAACCGAUAUGGAAGGAGGGAGGCAUUAUUGGGUCUUCAAUGUCAACUUGAGGGACGGACGCUUCGAAGUUCUUGACUCAAACAGGACGCUGGACAACAUUGAGCUGAUGACCACCGCCUCUACCAUUGCGGGGGCAGUACGCCGACUAUGGAGGAAGCAUUACCCAAAGUUCAGCAUCGAGCACUUCUAG